rnacentral:rRNA from 1 species
GACAGAGGGUGCAAACGUUGUUCGGAAUUACUGGGCGUAAAGCGCGUGUAGGCGGUCCGGUAAGUCCGCUGUGAAAGUCGGGGGCUCAACCCUCGAAUGCCGGUGGAUACUGUCGGGCUAGAGUGCGGAAGAGGCGAGUGGAAUUCCUGGUGUAGCGGUGAAAUGCGCAGAUAUCAGGAGGAACACCAAUUGCGAAGGCAGCUCGCUGGGACGUAACUGACGCUGAGACGCGAAAGCGUGGGGAGCAAACAGG